rnacentral:lncRNA from 1 species
GCUUGGAGAUGGAAGAUGGACAGUGGAAAAAUGCACAAGGGUUUCCUUCCCUGGUUGUUUGUUACUGUACAUACUUGCAGAUGAAGCCAUGCGGCGUGUUUCGGUCUUGGGGACUGAAACGUCGCGUGACCGAGGCGGUGGUUUGUCGGCGUCGGUGAUGUUAUAUGUUUGUUGCCAUUUUGAGUUCUCUAUAUUCGGAACCUGUAGUGUUUUAGCGGACUAGCUAAGCUGCUGCUCAAGGUGGUAGUAAGAUACUCCUAUGGAUUUGUCGUUACUGUUAAGAUGAUGUUGUCAAGAUGAUGACUCUGUUAUUGCUGUAUCCAUCCAUACCGUGCUAUCAUGUUUAUUAAUUUGGUCUCGCAUUAUCGUGGUUAUUUUGAUUAUUUUUUUGUGGUUUGCAAUUUGAAUUUACUCUGAUGUGAAUUGGGAUAAGUUCGUAUACUUCAUCUGGUCUAGCUGGUGUUCCCUUUUCCCCUUCAUACCCGUGAGUUUCAGGUAGCACAUGAUCCGGAUUGCUCUAUAUGUCAUCCUAGAUUUUUAUUUUUCUCUUGACUUUGUCUUAUUUCCCCCAGAGCACAAAUGUUCCAUUUUGCAUGAAAAAACGCCAAAAUCCAGUUUUCAAAUUUGUUUUCUGUUUGUUUUGUGUUUUUUAAAUAAAUCAGUUUCAAAUUUGUUUUCGGUUUUUUGUUUGCGCCAAAAGCAUAUGCUCCUGGGAGCCGAAACGCCGCUCCCUCGAUGGUCUUCUUUUCUUUCCAUUUUUAUGGAACAAUUUUUUUUCGACAAUUGUAAAAUGCAUUGGUGACCAUUAAACUUGUGAGGACGGUCUCUUUCGCCUCGUGCGACGACAAAACUGGGCUUUUAUUUGUCGAGACGGGGAUAAAAAGGAAAGGAAGGGAGAGGUGUAGUGUUUUAGAUACUCCUAUGAAUUUGUAGAUACUCCUAUGAAUUUGUUGUUAUUGUUAAGAUGUAGUCAAGAUGAUGACUCUGUUAUUGCUGUAUCCAUCCAUACCGUGUUGUCAUGUUUCUUAAUUUGAUCUCGCAUUCUCGUCGUUAUUUUGAUUUUCUGCGGGUUGCAAUUGGAAUUUACUCUGCUGUGAAUUGUAACAAGUGCAUAAACUUCAUCUGGUCUAGCUGAAGACCAAGAUGGGCAACAUGCUGGUCUUCCUUUUUCCGGAUAUUCAAAUAUGCUCUAGAUGUCACCUGUAGAUUUUUAUAUUUCACUGAACUUUAU